GAUCAGAGCCGCAUCACAGUAACACUCAGGUGGGGAGAAAGGGGGGGCUCACCCAUCGCACGGAGUGUCCCCAGAGCCACUGAGGAACGAGGAUCCCCCGCACGAUGGGUGAGCGCCCCUAAAGGCAGUCAGGAGCCUCGGGGGCUGCUCUCAGACCCGCUCAGGGAAGAGGCGGCAUCCCAGUGGGCCACGCGGCCCCCAGCUGAACUCGCAAGGCCACGCUCCGCGCUCAGGGCCAUGCCAGGACGGCUGGGUGGAAGCAGAGGCUGUCCCAGCUCGUGGACGAGGGACCCCCUUCGCCCGCGUCUCUGCAGAGUGAGGCAAACCGGGGUACCUGGCUGCAGCCUCCCACACAGGCCCGGGGCUCCCCAGAAAGAACCUGGACCUUGUCUCCGUCACUGUGCGCACUCACGGAGACGCACAAAGACACCUGCAGCGAACUGAAGGACCCGAGGGGAGGCAACAGCACAUCCAGAGGGAAAAGACCACGUGGCCAGCUGGCCCCAUGCCAAGCAGGGCCCCGUAGGAUCUUACUUAGAUCUCUGAGGAAGCCUCACACCCACCUCACAGAGGGGGAAGCUUCUCCCGAAUGGCCCCCGGCCUUCAGCUUUCUCCACGGAGCGGCCACAGCGGUCCUUUUGCAACUGUAAACCACAACACACCAUUUGCCCACAAAAGCCCCUCACUCUCAUCCCGGCCCGGGUGGCAGCUGCCUGGUGACCUGUCCCUGUCACCUUUGCCCUGCGAGCGUAGGCCGGCCGCAGCUAACGUGAUGGCAUGUCACUUCUGAGGCCACCCCGAAGGAUAUCCACGGUGGAGGAGAAUGCCACGAGAGCUUUCUGAAGGGGAAGGCUGUGUCCUAAUUAUCCUGAACGUGACCAAGAAAUCAUGGGUCGGCCUGAAUUUACCCGAAUGAUUCGCUAAGUAGUCCGACACCAGGGGCGCCGGGCGGCUGGAACCGAACAAUUAACAUCUAUU